UAUCACAUAUAAUUUAUAUAUAUAUAUAUAUAAUGAUAUGAAAUUGUUAAACCUCUUUUUAAUACUGUUAGAUAUUCUGCUGGUACUCAUUUUUUAUUUUAAUUCUGCCUAAAUUAAAUUAAGUGAUUCCAUCUUUAGGAUAUAAAGUGGUAAGAAAUGUAUAGCCUCACUGACCAAAACAUUACAUUUCUAAAUUAGGUUAUACACUAGCCAGCCAAUGACAAAUGGUGAUAUAAUCAGUACAUGAGAAUCUGCUGCCUGUGCAGACCUCUGCUUCUUGAUAUUUGAUUGUCUCACUUCUUGGAUCAUUGACCUCCCAUACAAGUGUAUUUCCCAUGGCCAUAGUACUUGAGAAUUUUAGUAUCCUGUCUCACACAUAGAAAACCAGUCUGAUGUCUGGGACAGCAACCAUUGUUUGCUAUGUGACAAAUUUUGAGCGUGAAGAAUACAGAUGCUUAAACCUUACAAUGUUUGAGCAUAGAAAGUUUAAAAUGUGAUCAUGUGAAUAUUGUAGCUGCCUUGAGGUUUUAAUGAAUUUUCUAUUGAAAAGAAAAAAAAAGCAUUUAAAAUCUACUUAUAUCUACAUGUGGAAGAGUGGUGUUCUUUUUUAGAAACACAAAUAUAAAUCAUAUUUUUUUACGCCAAGCAAAUUUGUUUCAGAAUGCUUAAAACGUCUAUAGAAAGCCAUUUAUGAAUUCUCUCCACAGCAACAUUUGGCCUCGAAAAUGUCCUUUUGACAAAUAGAGAAGCAAUGAGUACACCAUGUUCAAAAGUAAUCUAAUGGAGACUCUGGAUGAGGCCGGUUGCCAUCAAAUGAAUCCAUCACCAUGAAAUCCUUCAUUGUUUGUCCAUCAUCUGAACUCUCACAGCUCAGAAAGGAUACUCUGUCCCCCACUGGCUUACCUCCUAUAUUCUUGCAGUGUAAUGUAGUAACCAAGUGACCAUGGGGCUGAGCAAUUUUAAGCCUCCCACACAGAGCUGGGCAGCACACUGUACCUUUGAUAGAAAGAGACAUUGCCACUCUGUUCAGUGGUCAGCUGCUGAGAGGAGGCAGGAAAAGUAAAAUGUCAAAUCCGUAUGAAAACCUUAGUCUGCUUCACUCUGGGCAACAGACAUGUCUAUUAGAGGAAGGUGAGACAUACAGGAUGAAACUUCUCAAAGACUGAGUUUAUUGUAAAUUUCUGAGGUUAAUUUUGUGUAUUUUCUUUGGCUCCUCUAUAAUAACUCAAUCUGUCCUAAUGGCUUUGUAUGGCUGCUUAGAGUCUGUUAUUAAACUUGCACUUUCACAAAGUUUCUGCUUUAGAAGAACAGGGAGAAGACACAACAUCCUCCUUUGCUUGACACACUGUUCUAAUCAGUUUACUUUAAUAGCUUGAGGCCAUUAUCAAGAGGAACAUCAUAAUGUUUAAUAAAGAGCUGAUGAUACUAGAGUUUUAAACAAUCAAACAAACAGACAGACAGACAGACUAUUCUUGAAGAACCCUAAGGAUUCAGUUUCAUCUAGACACUACACUGGUGAUGCCCACGUGAAUUCCCAGAUUGUGGCAACACAGGCUCAAGACAGACAGGGUUCCAUCAGUAAGAGGGGGAGUUGAACAAUUGUUUCCACACCUAAUCAAGAAACUAUCUAGAAUAUUUGCAAAGGAAAACUUGGUUCUGUUCAGUGGCAUCUCACUGGGUAUAUUAACUGGACAUAAGCAUAGGCCCAGUGCCCAGAAGACAACCAACGCAAAUGGACUUAAUAGUAUUGUGGUAGAUAUUCUGUCUCAAAUCACACUGUUUGGGAAUUUCUUGUCUUAUUAGUCUUUGGCUUGUGUAUUUAAUAUUUCAAAUUCUGUGGUAUAUAUGUAUUUAUACAUUUAAAUGUCUUGAUUUUUGUUUGAUUUUUUUAAAUAGAGAGAGAAAAAAUAUAAUGAGUUUCACACAUAAAAAAUAAAGAGAGAGACAAAGGAAGGACUUUGAGUUGGUGAAUGGGAAAAUGUGGAAGACUUCGGAGGAGUUGGGGUCAGGAGGAUGUAUAAGAUCAGAUGCAUUUUUUAACAAGGAAUUUUCAAAUGGAAAAUAAUCACUAGUCCUGUUUAAAUAUUUAACAAAUAUCUGUCCUGUUAAAACAAAUUUUAAAAAUAUCAAAAACUAUGGUAGGUAUUUUUAGAAAUAUUUGAUUUCUUCAGUACAAAUGAAAGGUAAAGAUACAGUAUAUUAAAUAUAUUUCAGAUGCAUUUGAUAAACAUGUGUUAAAGCUCAAAUGAUUGUUUUUGGAAAGAACCACUAAAUUCCUUUAAAUGGAAAAUAUGACAAUAGGCUGUACUUAUGUUAGAUUUAUAACAUUAGCAUUCUACAACGUAUCUUUAAAUUGUUGUCUGUCUAUCUAUCUAUCUAUCUAUCUAUCUAUCUAUCUAUCUAUCUAUCUAUCUAUCUAUCUAUCUAUCUAUUAUCUAUCUAUCAAUGCUAGUGGUCUCAAAAGCCAAUUAGGACAGAUCCCACACAGCAGGGUUUAUAGCUGGUUAUGAGCUGCCUGAUGCUGACACUUGGAGUUGAACUUGUGUUAUCUGGAAGAAAGGCAGCUUCUCAUAAUCAUUAACCAUCUCUUAAGCCUCUAAUCACAUUUUAAUUAAUAGUUUAAUUCUAGGAUCAAGUUGGUAAGAUGGUAGAACUACUAAUUUAUUUUUAUUUUAUUAUUACGGAGAAAACAUGUCACCAUGUUCUCCAAGGCAUUUGCUGCAAUGAUAUUUCAAAUUGCCAAGUCAUAAGUGGAAGUAUUACUUUAUUAAAGGACAGUGUAUAUGAGUUUCAUGUCCAUCAUGAAACAGGAGUACAAAAAUUUAAAAAUAAAGAUUUAAAAAUAAAAAUAUAUAGUACCAUAUACAUAAUAUAUAUGUGUGUGUGAGUGUGCAUGUGUGUGUGAUAAAAAAAGGUUGCUAAAAUAGAUUAAUUUAUAUUAGUGAGCCAUUAAAAUACAAAGUAAUAAUUUUAUAAGUGACAUUACAUUUGUGAAAAACUGUAAAUAGUUAUAUUUUUAUUUUUUGUGAGAUUGUAAAAUAUAUUCCACUUCUCCCUCUGUACAAAUAGAUCUAGGGCAGACCCACUGACAUAUGAUGGUAUAAGUGAAAAGAUGAUGUAUUCCUUAUUGCAUGAAUAUUUCCUGAUCAGUUCAUAUGAUGCUACUUGUAUAUAUAUGUUUUCAGGGCUGAGAUUAUUGUAUUGAAUAUCCUAUUGGUGCAUUGGUGGGUUCCGACUAUGUCUCCAGCUCUCUGCAUCCCUCAGUUGCCUGUUAUUUCUUUUGUAGGGAUGAAACCUCUGUGUGCUUACAGCCUCGAUGUCUCUUGCGGUGUCUUGUUCAGGUCAUGGUAGGCACCUGUUUUAGCGAGGAUUUAUGUACUUUUUUCUUAAUUUUAAAGGCAAUGUUCUUGUACUGGGAGAUAAAGAGCAGGUUUAAGACAAAUGUGCAAUCUUAAUGACCUCAAGUUUAUUACUUUUAUCGUCAUAGAUUUACUAAGUAUAACACUAAGUCUCAUGAGGAUGUUUUCAUACAAACAUGUAGCAUAUGCAGACAAUGAUCUUUUCAAGCAUCCAUUCUUUUCAUUUAUCCCACUCCAGUCAGUCUUCUUGAUCCCCGUGGAAGACUUCCUUACAUUUUUAUAUGUGCAUAUGUUAUAGUUGUAUAUAUAUAAAAUCUAUCCACAAAAGAAAGAAAAUAUAGGACAACAUAUUCAUCUUUCUGAACCCACUUUUUUUUUCUUUCUUUUUUAAGGUUUUUUCAAUUUUUAAAAUUUUAUAUUAGAUAUUUUCUUUAUUUACAUUUCAAAUGUUAUCCCCUUUCCUGGUUUCACCUCCAAAAAUCCCCUAUUCCUCCCCCCCCUGCUCCCCAACCCACCCACUCCUGCUUCUUGGCCCUGGCAUUCUCCUAUACUGGGGCAUAGAAUCUUCACAGGACCAAGGGCCUCUCCUCCUAUUGACGACUGACUAGGCCAUCCUCUGCUACAUAUGCAGCUAGAGCCAUGAGUUCCACCAUGUGUUUUCUUUGGUUGGUGGUUUUAGUCCCUGGGAGCUCUGGGGGGGUAUUGAUUAGUUCAUAUUGUUGUUCCUCCUAUGGGGCUGCAAACCCCUUCAGCUCCCUGGGUACUUUCUCUAGCUCCUUCUUUGGGGACCCUGUGCUCUGUCCCAUGGAUGGCUGUGAACAUCCACUUCUGUAUUUGUCAGGCACUGGCAGAGCCUUUCAGGAGACAGCUAUAUCCGGCUCCUGUCAGCAAGCUCUUGUUGGCAUCCACAAUAAUGUCUGUAUAGUUGUGUGGAGUUUAGAACUGUGAUGUGAUUUCAAAGUACUGCUUGAAACAAUCACAAGGAGUAGGAUGGGUUGGCAGUGAUGGGUGUUAAGAGAUAGGGCUGGUUGGCAGAAUUACCUUAAAAAGCAGGGUAAAUUUGUUUUCUUGCCAACAUGAUUGCCUAUACAUGAGCUGAAAAUGACAGUAACAAUAGACAUUCAAAAGUAUAUUGGGAAAACCCAGAAGGUAUCAUCUCUACACUGAGUAAACUAUUGAAUGUUGAGAAUAGGAGAAUAGUUUACUCCAAAACAGAGUAUACCAAUUGAUUCCUGAAUAUCAAGUGGUCAGCUCUGAAAACACAUGUAUAAGUAACAUUAUACCAACAUAUAUGCAUAUAUAUGAAUUUGAAAGAGCGAGGAGCAGUAUAUAUGAGGGUUUGGAGUGAGGAAAGAGAAAAGAGAGAGAGAGAGAGAGAGAGAGAGAGAGAGAGAGAGAGAGAGAGAGAGAGAGAGAGAGAGUUUUAAAAUACCUUUUAUAGAGAACUUAGGGAAAGUGAAUUUGGAGCCCAGAAUAGCCAGCAUCCACUCUGCUCGCAAGUUUUACCAUGGUGCUUUCUUAUCUUCCUUCCUUAGAUUGUUUUCAAGAGCUGCUAAGUUCAAGCUGGUCCAAGGGCCACUCAGCAUUCAAACCUUUUCUUCUUCUAAGGAAAUAUAUUUUAUGAUUUAGUGCAAAAAAUUUUCCUACCCGAUAUACAGAACCUUUUCAAAAGCUUAUUAAUCACAAUAUGUAUGGAUGUGUCAUUGAGAAUUAAAGGAGCCAUAUAAUUAGCUGUUAGCUUUCACAAUUUUAUCUAAGAUAUGGUAGUGCUGCCCAUAAAAUACAAGGAUAUAUAUAUAUAUAUAUACAUACAUACAUAAAAGCUGGAACUUGACAAAAUAAAUACAGAGGAGAUAGUGUUUUUAGAAACGUAUGUGCUAUGAAAAAUUUAAACUGAAAAUAAAAUAGAGAAGUCACUUUUAUCUUAAAAGUGAAGAUAAGUAUAGUAUGUAAUAAUCUUGACAUGUGCAAUGUCAAUGAUGGUGUCCCUAUAAUAAUGUCCCCAAGGACAAUGACUUGUGCUUUAUUCAGUAUAAUAGCAAUUUUAAGCCUAGCACAAAUAUUACUAUCCUACAGAUGUACAAGAGCUCUCUCCCUGAAAAUAUCAACAGCAAAUCCCAGCAUGUGUUUAAAAUCCCAGCGCAUGUUGGAAAAGCCACUUGUAAACAUCAAGUAACUCAUUCCUUUUUCAACUUUCCUAUUCCUUUCUGCAGCUUCUCUUUCUGUAUAUGAAGUAUUCCAUUAAAGGGUCUGUAUGCAGGAUACUAGAUAAUGCAAUAGUGGUUAUCAAGGAUGUCUGUUUGCCUUGUUUGUGCCUGUCAAUUAUUUUGGAAGGCAGACCUGAUGUUUCUCUAAAACAAAACAUUUGUCCCGAAGUUGCUGAUGCACAGAUGAGAUACCCACAAAUAUGGAAAGUAACUUGAAAUGACUGUUUUAGUAUGUAUAUUUGACCCUGCCUGUGCAUGGAUUUUUUUGUUCAACCUUUGUCUUGCAUAUGCAUGUAUCUCUAAGAAUACAUAGAACCUCGUGAUCUAAGACUAAGGCAGAUCUUUUCAAAUCUGAAAACUUCUAUGUAAUGCUCUUUAAAGGAAAUUAAUGCUGAGGACUUGGUUUCCUUUGUUUAAGACUUAUUAAUAACCUCAAAUAGCUGCAGGAUUCUCCCAGAUUCUCACCUAUCCAAAAUACAACAUAUCCUGUCUUCAGUCUUCUUGCUUCUACUUCAGAAUACACAUACCAUUGCAGAGUUCCCCUGUGUCCUUCUCUAGUCUUUAGAUUCAAUAUCUACUUUUGCGAUACUUCAUGUUACAUACGCAGAAGGAUGAAAGGUGAAUUACUUCCUAAUUGAAUUGUCUCAGGAUGUACAAUGGUUAUUUUCAUUAGUCAAAGUAACGUAUUUUUAGCUUAAUGGCCACCACUUACUCAACUUAUCCCAGUGGGCUAAAAACCUGUUUGUUUCACACUUUAAAUCUACAAUGAGAUGAUUCAUAGCCCCCAUUGCUCUUUUUAUAACAGCACACUGAAUAAUUUAUUAUAGAUUCUCUUAUUUGUAAUUUUUUAUAUGGUUUAGUGAGCACUUUCAGAAGUAUGGUACACAUUAUUAGGAAAGAAAAAUUUAUAGGAUAUGCUAGAAACUUACUUAGACAAAUACUAAGUGUUUGUACAGAAAUAAUCCUUCAAAUUUAUGAAACUUUCUUAUUACAUUUCCAUGAUUGUCAUGUUUGUUAAAAGGACAUGAAUUCAAUGUCUAAUAAUUUGAAGCCUGCUAAAUAAUUUUGACCAGCUCCUGCCUAUGGUAUUAGAAGAACAACAGUACUUUGGGGUUGUCAGAACAUUUCUAGCAUAAGAGUAAGUGACAUAACCUGAUCAGCUAUCUCAUUCACCCAGGUGUGAGAUAUUUGAUUAAUUUUUUAUUAAUCAUUUUAUUCAUUUACAUUUCAAAUUGUAUCUCCCUUCCUGGUUACGCCUCCAUAAUGUUCACCCAUCCUAUCACCCCUCUCCUCCCUCUCCUUUGUCUCUAUUAGGGUACUCCUCCACCCACUCACCCACUCCUGCUUCACCCCUCUAGCAUCUCCCUAUGGUCCCAUUGAUGGCAGACAAUGUCAUCCUCUGCUACAUACAUAUUUAUAGUCAUGGCUCCUUCCAUGUAUACUGUUUUGUUGUUUUUUUUAGUCCCUGGGAGCUCUAGAGUUAGUUGAUAUUGUUCUUCUUAUAGGGUUGCAAUCCCCUUCAGUUCUUUCAGUCCUUCCCUAGCUCUUCCACUGGGUCCCCAGGCUCAGUCCACUGGUUAAGUGUGAGUAUCCGCCUCUGUAUUGGUCAAGUGCUGGUAGAACAUCUCAGGGAACAGCCAUACCAGGCUCCUGUGGGCAAGUGCUUCUUGGCAUCAGCAAUAGUGUCUGGGUUUGGUGUCUGCAGAAGGAAUGGAUCUUUAGGUGGGAGGUCUGUAGAUGGCCUUUUCUUCAGUCUCUGUUCCACUUUUUUUGUCCCUGUCUUUCCCUUGGAUGAAACAUUUCUGGGUUUAAAAUUUUGAGAUGCAUAGGUGGCCCCAUCCCUCAACUGAGGGCUGUGCCUAUUUAUUGGAUAUGGUAUCUACACUUUCUAGCUCCCCUUUGUUGGGUAUUUCAGCUAAAGGCAUCCCCACUGGAUCCUGGGAGACUGUCCUUUCCAUGGAGUCUGGGUCUUUCUAUUGGCUACCCUCAGUUCUCUAUCACCCACUCCUACAUGAUUCUACUCGAUUUCUGUACUUCUGUCCCUUCCAAUUCAUGAUCCUGCUUUCCUCUUUUUCCUUCCCCUCCUCUCUUCCUCACUCUGCCUCAAGAAUUCCCAACAUGAUAGUAGCUUGGCUUGAUAAAAGCUUUCAAAUAAAUUGUAAGGAUUUGCUAUGACAGUGUUAGUUUUUCCUCUAUUCUGUUGGUCAAGAUUUUUUUUUCUUGAUCUCUCUUCCUAGAUCUUGUAACACAGUGCCAUUGUUUGAGAAAUUCUUUCUUUAUUUGAAAGGAUGCUGAGAUAAUACAUUUCUGUGUGGGUUGUUUGUUAAUGUAUGAACUGAGCUACAUAAUUGCCUCAGUUGGUAUAAUGCACAGCAGCCAAGAUGCUCCUGUGUGUUCUGAUUUUGUGUAUGACUAUUGGAACCAAUGCAAAAUGAAAUAGAACAUGAGGCUUUCCUUGAAACCACCAUUAUGGAUAUUAAAUAUUUAGCUAGCAUGACUGUGAAACUAAAAUUUCAAAUUUGAUAAUUUUAAUUAAUACACAUUUAAAUAACUAUGCAGCUUAUGGUUUAAUAUUAACUCAAUUUAAAUAUAUGCAGCAAAUAAUGAAAGCUGUGCUUCAUUUUAUGUAAAAUUCAAUUAAUGUCAGCAGGCUAUGCAAACACAGUAUUUGAAGCAACUGAGAAAUUGAUACUGUGUUCACUCAAUCCCACUGUCUCAGAUUGUAUACUUAUAACUGCUGCCAUAACAAAGCAGUAAUGGCUGUAAUGCUUAAACAAUAGGAAUUUAUUUAUAUGUAAAAUGUAUAGUGUUAUUUAUUGUUCAUUGUAUAUGUGUGUGAGAGAGGGGGCAAUCAAAUAUAUUCAAGAUGUGUGUUUCUGUAUGUGAGUGUGAGUGUGUGUGUGUGUACGCAUGUAUAUGUGAUAUGUGGAGAGAGAGAGAAAGAGAGGGAGGAGAGGAAGAGGGAGGGGGAGGAGAGGAAGAUGGAGGGGGAGAGGGAGAGGGAGAGGGAAAGGGAGAGGGAGAGGGAGAGGGAGAGAGAGAGAGAGAGGGGGAGAGAGAGAGAGAGAGAGAGAGAGAGAUCCCAUGAAUGCCAUGCCAUGGCAUAUACAUGGAGGUUUGACUUCAAUUUCAGGAAAUGGAUAUCUCCACCAUAGAUCCUGACAUUGAACUUACAUCAGCAUGGUUUGUCUUUUACUGCUGAACCAUCUCAUCAACCUAGGUAAAAAGAUAUUCAUCAAAAUUCUUGAAUCUUCAAGCCUAAUGUCAAGGUGUGGACAGAUUUGAUUCUGUCUGAGGCUUUUCACCAUUUGUCAGUAUCUACCUUUCCCUCAUCUUUUCAAUAUGCUUUCGUUUGUGACUGAGAAGCCAUUUGUAAAGAUACCAUUAUGUUAAGUCUCACGCUUAUCUGAUAUUUGUUUUUAUCACGGCAUCUCCAAAUAUAGUUCCAUCAUAAAGUACUCGAGUGGGAUACAGUCCAUCCUGUCACACCAAUAAGACAUGAUGCUUCUGGAGACGCUGCUCCUCUGCCCCUGGGUCAGUGUAUGGUAUUGCCUUCAGAUUUCUGUAUCCAAAACUUUUCUACUUGUGACUUAGUUGCUCUUUACUUCAAUGGGUCAUGUCUAUGGAUCCUCAGUAAUUGUUUUGCAUUUGGAUUGUUCAUUCCAUUCAUGGUUGGUCUACCAUACCUUAUUGCAGUGUGCAUUAUCUUGAAAAAAAUCUAUAUAUUUUGAGGAUAGUCUACAAUUAGUAAAAUCACAUGUAGUUGGAUUUUCUGGUUAUAGAACCUACAUACCAAGUUAGAAAUGUUUGAUAUCCUUUCAGUAUUUUCAUAGUUUAGAAAAAUAUUGCUGUUAUGAAGAAAUAUGUUUAAUGUAUGUUGCCUCACCAUCUUUGAAAGACAUACCAUUUUCUUUAAGUGUUUUAAAAUAUAUUGACGCAUAGUUUUCAAAAGAAUCUAUACCCCAUUUCUUUCCCAAUGUAGGCUACAAAAAGCAAAGUUUUAGGCAUUUUUCUUAGAAUACAUAUCCUCCAGUAUUUUUUUUCUUUAAUAAAUAUUAAGAAAUUCCACUGUAUUCAUUUGGGCAAGAAUACUUCUGACAAAAGUCUUAUCUCAAAUUCUUAAAACAACUAAGAUUUUGAUGGUAGGAAAAUUCAUUUCAGUGUUAAAUGCUACCACACAGGGAAUCUAAUACAAAAGAUUAACUCAAAAUUGAGAGCAUAUUAGAAGUAUUAAUCUGCUUUGAUUAAAUUUCUGCACCUUUAGUGAAAGGUCUAACAUUAAUGACUUUGGAGUCAAUUGUGUUUAUAAGCUCUACCUCCUUCCAAGAGGGAAGGAAGAGGUUAAUUUUGAGCAGAUUCACAACUGAGACAUUCUCCUUUAAAACUUCCACCAAAGAAAAGGAAAUUCAUUUACCUGUCUUUUAUUUUUCAUCUUUUAAUUAGUUUUUCUUGAAAGAGAUCUAUUUGAUAAGCAGCAUUGGUUGAUUUUCAAAGCUAUUCCCUUCUAUCUGCUUUCACAUCAUUUUCCUCCCCCUUCUUCUUGCUAGCAGUGCCUUGAUUUGACUGGAAGAGUUUCUUCAGCACUCUUUCUUCUUUAUGACCUCAAAGGACGUAGCCACUCCUAACCAAGGAGACACAAGUGGAACUUUGUGGGAACUUUUAGGACAUCGUUUAGAAUAUUGCUGGUAGCCUGUGCUUUGCUGUCUUCUUUCUUGUUAGAAACGUAGAUAUCUAUAGGAGCCAUCCCAUAUCCAGGAAUCGGAAAACACAAGGUCAAAAGACACAUCUCUGAGGAGGAAUGCCCUGUUGGUGUGACAAUAUUUGUCUAACCAGCAUUGGCAGUUCUAGCUGAGAUCUGCUUCCUAUGACUGAAAAAUUAACCUCUGUUCAAAUCUCUGUUGGCUUUUUAUUACUUGGCCACAAAUGUAUUUAUAAAAUUUAUAUGUACUCUAGGGCAGGCUUUGCAGAAAUGAUCAUUAUUGGCAAUGUCCAAUGUGGAAUAACUAUUCAUAUUGAGGUUAUAAAACACAUGGCAUUUAUGAUUCUGUGUAUGAUUAAGAAACAGGAUUCUUCAUUUUAUAGCGUUCUAAUUAAUUUAAAUGUGAAGUUAAACAGCAUCUUUGGCUGGUGUCUUAUGAAUCUUGCAGGUAUAAAUCUUAUAGGAAAUAAUUAAUAAAUCUUAUAACAGUUUUAUUAAUGUCACAUUCUCAUGCACAUCCCAUUUUUAAACUUGUCUGACUGGUCUUAAAAUUACAAGUUAUAAUUUUCCUGUCCUAGCCUUUUCUCUUACUUCAAUUAAUAUACCCUGAAACCAAAAAAAAAAAUAAGGAAAGAGUGGUUUAUUUUAGUUUAUUGUUCAUAGGAUAGUCGAUCACAGUGGGAAAAUCAAGGUACUUGAAGUAGCUGGUCACAUUGCACCCACAGCUAUAAAGAAAAAGGUGAAUACUAGUGCUUUGUGUAGUGCAAGAUCCUCCUGACCCUAAGGAAUGAUGAGCAUGCCUGGUGUGAGCAUGUCUUCACACUUCAUCUUCAUGCCCAGAGGACCGUCUCCCAAGAAGUUCUAGCCUCUUUCAAGUUGAUAGUUAUUACUGACAUCAGAAUCCUCUUCUAAAGUAUUCCUGACUGACAUCUCAUUUAUGGGAAGUAUACAACCCCAUGUAGGGAUAUAUCAUUCAGAUUUGAAUUAGAGGGUUUUUCUUGUUGUUUUUGAUGAUGUUGUGUUGUUGUUGUUGUUGUUAUACUUUAUGGACACUCAUUAAAUUUUCGGUUUCAGUUUAUUUCCUUGCCUAAGUUUUGGGUAACCAUCAUGAAUUCUUCAUUGAGAUUAAUUAACGUUAUGAGGCUAAGAUUUUAUCCAUCUUUGGAGUAUAGUGUGAUGGAACUGUCAGACUGCUUAUGGUGCAAUGUCUAGUGGGAUCCAUUGCUCUAGGCUUGGAAACCAAUUCAGGCAAACCCACACACCAACAUUAAGUUUACUUUGUGCUAUUUUCACACUUUAAUUUUAAAAUCUAUUUAUACACACUCUGCAACAGAUGUUUCUUGUUUUUCAGGAUGGGAGGGUGCGAAUAAUUUAUUUGAAAAUAAGAAUUUAUCUUCUUAAUCAGUAUUUCUUAUGAUGUAUUAGGUGUAAGCAUUAACUGCAAUUGAACUUGGAUGUUAUUUCACAUGCACACAAAAGUCUUCUGUAAGUACAUUUGGGGCUAAUAUCGUUCUCAUCUUUCUGAGAUGCCUUUGUGGAACAGUAGUGAGAUAUGUGGUCAUUCAUCCCAAUGGUGCUUUAGCAGACUUCCAGGCUGACCUUAGUCUCAACAGUGCUCUAGGAUAUUCUCAGGUUGUCCAUUCAGGAGCCUUUCCUGGAUCAGUGAUCUUUGAAGCAUGCUUCUGACUCUCAGGAAGAUAGUCUUUUGAGUUGAAAUUUCCUUUUUUUCAAAAAUGUUCCCUUCUCUUUGUGAGAUUUCAAAAUAUUUCUCAGCACUGUAGAUCGUCACUAACCAGUUUAUAAGGAGAGAGAAAGAGGUGUCUCGCCAAAAAUUUGAAAGUUACAAAUUCAUAGUAGAGACUCAAUGUCACUAUGCCAAAUGCACUGGGCUUCUUAAAUGUACUUAUAGCUUCACUUUCAGGGGCUGCAAGUCUCAGCAGUCAGAAGCAGGAAUUCUCUUACAACAGACUUGAGUCUGGCUCAUGGCACCCAUGUUGGAGUGACUCACAAUUAUCUUUAACUCCAAGUACAUGAGAAUCUGAGGCUUCCGGCUUCCAUAGGCACCUGCAGUAGCUUCACAAAACCUCCACACCCACAGACUAUUAGUUAAAAAUACUAAAAAUAAAUCUAUAGAAAUAUAUUAUGAAGUAAUGUUGCUUUUUAAACUCUCUUCCACAAAUAUACAUCUGUGUCACAAAUAAAAAAUAGUCUCAAAAUGCUUCAAUUGAUGUUAUUUUCUUCCUCUCCUGAGCAAUAGUUUUUCAAAGCUUAAAAGAAAAUAGGCUUAAAAUCAAGGUUUGUAAUCACGUGAAGAUACACUGCUUUCACCUGUGAACACUCUAGGAUCCAUUAUUUAACCAUUAUUUCCUCAGAGCCUUUUAUGUGAAGUAAUGGUUGGCAGAGUGUUAAACAAUUAUUCCCAAUUAUAAAAUUGGAUUAAUCUGAAAAUAUGUAGUGAAGUUGUAAACAUUUACCAAAAAUGAGGCCUGGUAAAAUGAUGAGUGUCUUGGAAGACAUGGGCCCUUCUUAAAUAAUUAUAAUCCAUUGUGUAGCUCAUAAUUUAUGUGUUUUGGAAAAUAUUUUUUACAAAAUGAAAUGCUAAGGGCUCUCCGCAUGUUUCUCCCUUUGGGGCUGCCUAUCACCUACACAUCAGACUCUUGGAAGGCUUGCCAAAGCAUUUUCUCCAACACUGUCACGUAGAGUGUGAGCACUCAUGCUUAUCAGCUAAGCCUCCUUUUAGAUAGAACCCUGCCAGACAUGGCCUGCCCUGCCAGCACCAAAGCCAUGCUAAUUUGUAUAAGAGAUAACUCCUGAUUUGAUUUUCACUGACAGUGAACACACAAAUGAAGUGGCUGGGAAAAUAUUAUCUUUAAUGAAAAAGUUAUUCCUAAAUCUAAUAAUUAUUUGGGGGUAUGUAAAUAUUUUCUUUCCUUUUGCCCCUGGAUUUUUCCCCUUUUUUCUUUUCUUUUCUUUUCUUUUCUUUUCUUUUCUUUUCUUUUCUUUUCUUUUCUUUUCUUUUCUUUUCUUUUCUUUUCUUUUCUUUUCUUUUCUUUUCUUUUCUUUUCUUUUCUUUUCUUUUCUUUCUUUCUUUCUUUCUUUCUUUCUUUCUUUCUUUCUUUCUUUUUAUUGUUAAUUGCUUUUAAAGUACCUUGGACCUUGGAUUAUAAAUGAUAUGUUUCUUCCUUGACAUAAAAUCACCAGAUCUAUCUAGUCUACUAGGUAUUUUGUGCAUCAGUUACGAUUCAGUGCGAAUACUCUCUAACAGGAAUACAUACACUGCUAUAGAAAAGACACUGAUAAAUCAUGAUGUGACCAUUUACUUUACGUGAGGAUUUGUGUGUGUGUGUGUGUGUGUGUGUGUGUGUGUGUGUGUUAGUUUGGGGAUUUUUAAGGAAGACUAUGGAAAAUCCUACUUAGAUAUAAUUUUUUAGUGUUCCUUCUGAAUGAGUAGAAUUUAAAGUUUACUCAUUUUGGACCAGAGUAAACACACACACACACACUCACCCUUACAAAUAAGAACAUAUUUUUACAUUUUACCUAUUUGCACUGCAAAUACCAGUGCUUGGAUUUUUGACAGCUGGUCAUUAAGGAAAUACAAAACAGAUAGCAGACAAUUAGGAAAAUGUUCUGCUGGUGUAGAACAUGAACACUGAUAUGCACCUGGCAAAAAUAGUGCCCUGGAACUCUUGGCUGGGAGCCGAUCUUAUCUGCAAUAACAAAGAACCAGUUAUCUCUAUCUGGGAGUGUUUCUAAAAUGGAAGUUGGAAUGUCUAGACAAAUACUACUACAGAAAAUCUGAUGAUCACAGGCAUAUGUUGACACUUUAGUUCAGGGAAAUUUAAAGAUGCAAAUGCUUUAAUUUUUAAAUAAGGAAGUAGUAAGAUAUGGUGUGUGUGUGUGUGAUUAUGAGAGAGAGGGGGGAGAUAGAUAGAUAGAUAGAGAGAGAGAAAGAGAGAGAGAGAGAGAGAGAGAGAGAGAGAGAGAGAGAGAGAGACUACAUAUCAUGCUACUUCAGUCUUUUCCAGCAAUUUUUACUUGUAGUACUUUGGAUUUAUGCCUCUAUUACGUUACAAACAAACAUGCUUUAGUAUCCAUUUGCCAGAUUUAAAAAAAGUAGAUAAAAUAAUUAUGUAGGAUUUGCAUUUUAAAAUUACAUAUGAUAUUCUUUUUUUUGUUUGAUUUUUUGAGACAGGGUUUCUCUGUAUAACCCUGGCUGUCCUAGAACUCACUUUGUAGACCAGGCUGGCCUCAAACUCAGAAAUCCACCUGCCUCUGCCUCCCAAGUGCUGGGAUUAAAGGUGUGUGCUACCACUGCCCAGCUUACAUAUGAUAUUGUAAGUGAAGCUUUUUAAAUUAAGCUUCAUUAAUAAAAACCUUUGCCUAAUUUAUCUUUUAAAACUUUUACUUGGGAUUUAUAUGUAUUUUGUCAGCAUGUUUGUAUGUGCAUUGGGUGGAUGCCUCAUGCCCUGGAAGAAGAGGUUGUAGAUUUUCUCAGAACUAGAGUUAUAGAUGGUUACAGGCAACUGUGUGAUCAAAAUAAACUACUUGUCCCAUUCUUAGAAGCUUUUUUAUGUGAAGGAUAAUACUGCUCAUUUUUUGGGAAGGGUGAAAAUCAGAAACACUGCAUAUGGACUAGAUAUAUAAUUCUUAACUGAUGAGGAGCCUUUAAAAUAAUGUUUUAUGUUAAAUACUAGCCUUAGAAAACAAGUUUUAAUUGUGGUAAGUUUAGCCUGUC